UUGCUUCCUAUUAGCAUGAACAAUUUUAAAUGUACUGUAAAAAUAGUAAUUAUGAAAGUUUUGAGGAGGUUGGAUUAGGGAUUGUGCAAUUUGGUGAAUGGGAGGGAUUAUUGGGAAAAUUCUUGAGAAUGAAGACUUCUUUAACAGGCUCUCUUUCUCUUCUGUAGUAAAAUAAUUACACUUAUAGAUAUGCCUAGAUCAUAAGUCAUGACAUUUCAGAAAAAGUAUGAAAAAAGUUUUAGCUUGUGGAUAAUUCCCAUCCUGCUUAUCAACCCCGAUCAGUUUCAGAAUCUCUCCAAUCUCCCACAGAUACAUACAGAACCUAUACCCUAGAGGGAGAUUCUACUCUCAGUGGAACCUAGUACACAAGAUCCAGGUUCUUAGACCAGGAGCAAGAGACACACAUUCAUGACCUAAGAAAGGAAAGAACUGGUUGCCAGGUGCAGGGGAUGGUGCUUCUCAUAAAAGACAAUUCUCCUACAAUUUCACCCACCAUUUACUCUGAAAGAAAUACCCAAUUUGGCUAGAGAGGUGGUUUUUAAAGAUAACUAGGAAGAUGCAUGGGAAAGUACAUCGUCAGCUAAUUAGCUACUGGAUUCUGUAACUGUGAUAGUGCCCAGUUGACACAGAAUGACUUUGGAUGAUGUGUGACUGGGGGUUCUCAUCACCCAAGAUUGUAAGACUAUGGAGUUUAUAGAUACUAAAUCAGGCAAAAGCUGGAACUAUGAAGAAAAACCAUCCCAGACAAUCCUUCGGAAUAAGGAUAAAUUAUCUACUAAAGGGAAAAAAGUACAUUCUUGUAAAACUAUUAAAAGGAAAAAAAAAUCUUUGAUGAAAAGUGAAAAAAGGCUGGUAUCUGUACCUAAAAUUCCAGUUACUCAACUGCUCUCUCUUAUUCCUGGACAAAAAGUGGCUGAGAGUGCUCCAGCUAAGCCUCAUAUUGAAGUAUGGAUUCUUCCCCUCAGAAAGGACCCUCAAGAAUUGACAAGAAUCAAAUCAAGGGAAACUCAAGGAAGUGAAGAUGACCAAACAGAAAUUAUCAGUUGGCAUGCAGAGGAUGAUGCUGAAAAGAAAAUUUCUUUGCCUGACCUGUUUCCAAGCCAAGUUAAUCUAAUUAAUGAGGAAAUAGUUGGUGAGUCUCAAGGCCAAAGAAAGGCAGAUUUGGAAAGGCAAGAUAUUCAGCAUGGUACAAUUACCAAAACAAUGGGUGAGUUUGAAGGCCAAAGCCUUUUGCCAGAGUGGAAAGAUCAAGAUAGUCAACCUAGUACAACUAGUACCAAGAAAAUGGGUGAGUUUGAAGGCCAAAGUCUUUUGCCAGAGUGGAAAGAUCAAGAUAGUCAACCUAGCACAACUAGUACCAAGAAAAUGGGUGAGUUUGAAGGCCAAAGCCUUUUGCCAGAGUGGAAAGAUCAAGAUAGUCAACCUAGCACAAGUAGUACUGAUAAAAAAGAACAAGAAGAACCUUCAGGAAUUUCAGAUGUGAUUCCCUCAAUUACAAGUCUAAUUAAACAAUUAGACUUAGACAGAGUAGUUGAGAUAAGCAUAGCUGAUUUAUUAAAGGACACAAAAGAAGUCAGUUUUACUCCAGCACGGGCAGAUGUUUCAACAAAAACUGUGCCUUUCUCAAAGCUUUUUCAACAAAAUAAAAUAUCUGGUUUACUAAAGGACAAAAAAGACGGUGCAAAAUUAACACAGAUGGAUGUGUCCCAAGAGCCUUUUCCACCAAGAAAGAAAUUUGAUACACUGAAAGACGGAAGGGAAUAUACAAGCAGAGCAAAAAAGAGCCCUUCAUUUCCAUUUCAUAAGAAAGCUACAGAGCAAGUUUUUCCAAAGGAAAAAAAACAAGCUUCCUCUUUGAAGUGCUUCAUUAUAAAGCAGCAAGUGAAAACACCUCAGCUGGACAGAAAGAACUGCCUCAGGGACAGGCAUUUUCCUCCAUUAAUUCUUGACAGAAAAGGGAAGUGAAUUACCAUCCAAAUUACAGUCAGCCAGAGAUAUUUUACUCCCGUGAACAAUUCCUUCAGUAGAAAAAAGGAGAUAUAUUCAGAUUAUGUCAUAACAAGAAGGAAGAACCACAAUGAACCCAAGAUUUCUUGGUGGAGAUCCUGGAAGAAUGUUGGUUCCACCAAAAGAAAUGUAGACUUCAGAAAAAGAAUCAACCAACCAAUCAAUGAGUGUUUUAUUUAUUACACACCGACUAUGUGCUAAGCAUUAAUGAUACCAUUAUACUAGUGAGACAGUCUUUGCCCUCAGGAAACAUAUUCUAUUAUGGGGAAACAGUAAUUAUAAAUGAGCUUUCCAGCGGUUUUACCUGCAUUGUAGCAGGGUCAUGCAUAAAUGCUUCCUAUUUCUGAAAUCAUCUGAAAGUAUUUAGUAAGAGUCAGCACAUGAAGACUAAGACUAUGAAGUGAGGAGAGGGGAAAAAAAGUUGGUUAGUCGAGGCAACCCUCAGCACCACAAAAGGUCUAGAUUAAUCUGACCCUUAUUAAAAGGAAAAUUUAGAUUAUCAGUGAUGGUAAUUUAGAAAGAUAACUUUUAUCCAGAGCUCUUUAUCAAGAACAUUCUUUAACUAAACAUUCACAAAGCAUCUUCUAAAUAAAUGCAAGUGGCUUCUAGGCAGUCUUCAAGGAUAAGCUAUCAAUUGAUAUUAGGCCCCUCAAGUUCAUCAUAGCACUAAGAAAAGCAGCAAAUAACUACAAAAAUUAGAUAAUUAUAUAAUAUGAUAAGAUUUACCAAUAACAGUGGCCAGGACAUGAGAGGUGGUAGAUUGCUGGGGAUCUACAGGAAUUCUGCUUGAUCUUGUAUUGAUCAAAGAACCUUUAAAGGAGUCACUGCCAGUUCUGUGUAUUAGAUGGCUUCUUGUUAGUAGAUAUGUGAUUAUUUACAAGGCCUAAUUAGUCAAAUAUCUGACAGAAACAUUUGAAUUUAGUAGUUUCCAAAGAAAGGAUUUACAUUUGAGAAUGUAAAUUCUCUUAAGAGGGCUUUGCAAAAUCUCAAGAAACAAUGCCUGAUUUGUCCACUGAGCAAUAACAUACAUUUAAAUAUUGGUAAAUAAAGAUGCUAGAAUUUGAAUUUUCAAAAAAUCAUAGCUACCUACCUCUUGCUUUAU